GGCAACACUGACCCUUGUUAGAAGCUCAAACUUUACAAAGUGGCAACAACAGCAAACAUGAGCACACACUUCUCUGUGACUGUACCCUGGAUGAUGACAUGUAAGCAGCUUGAACUAGAUUGGCUAACAUAAACUAAUUUAACUAGAUUACCGCACAUGUGGUGUGGCAAGAUAUAUGCACUUAAAUGUUUUAAAUCAUUCUCUGUUCCACCAAAUCGCUUCCCUUGAGCCUGGCAACUGCUAACAACAACUCUUUGAGUGAAUCUUUGGGGAUAUUUUGUGUUUUUAUAUUCCAAAAAUUAAAAAACAAAUCUAAAGAUUCAGGUGUUUACUUACCUGUGGUACGGUCCCAUAAGAUGACGUCACUGGCGCUGAUUUAAUUUGAAAAAAAAAAAAAAACCUUUAUCACAAAAGUGAGUGGACGUGUUAGCCUCACAUUAAUUCUUUUUUUUUAAAAAAAUACGUAAGAGCGUGAUUAUCCAAAGCGGACGGUAAAAUGACUGUAUUGAAUGUAUUCAGAGAAGUUGGAGCAGAUAUGUUAAAGCUUUAGCGAAUGAACCAAAGGUUCAAAAUGUCAAAGGACGGCCAACUAUGAAACAGAUUGUAGAACAUUUUAUAAAGCCAGUACAAUAAAGUCAGCCAGUCUCUAGCUGUGACAUUACCCAGCAUGCAUCCCCUCUGCCAUUAAUGCAAUAACCCAUACAAAUGCAACAGCCUGUAAUUAAUUUAUCUGCUGUCAUUUUCACUCAGCAAGUUGUUUACAUGAUAUCAUUUAUUGUGUUCAGUAUCUGUCACUACAAUGUGAUUUCAGAACCAUAGACUUAUAAGGACAGUAGUCUCAUGUGGUCAGUUAUCCAAGGUUUAGGAAGCUCUACAGUUUUCAAUGAGAGUACCCUGCACGUUGGUUCAUGAUGCGAGGGGGGACCCGGCGCGUUGAUAAGUGAAGCAGAGGGACCCUGACCAAGCGUCUAAAUAUGAUGAGUAACGUGUUGGCUUGUUUGUGCUGAGCAGCUGAUUAAAUACGUUUACAAUUAUAAUUAUAAAUGGCACACGCUCAACACAUCUACUGAUAAUCCAUCAGUUCCACCUCCACCAGCAGCACCACAUGUACCACAUCCAUCUUCCACAGGUAAUGUUAUAUGAUGUUCAUUAUUAAUACACCUAGUAAACAUUACUGUCGUGGUACUCUGACGUGAAGCUUUGAACCUUUCGAAAAGUCUGAGCAGGAACAACAAGCGCUGCAGCGGUCCAGCUUGAAUGAUGGAUCCUCACAUGGAAACCUCUGAAGAUCCUCUGACUUCCUGGAACGAGCACACAUAUAUUUACCCCCAUUAGUUUGUGUUAGCAAAGCAGCACCUAUGCACAGCAGCCUCAUCAGUGAAGGUGUGUUUGUAAAAGCUGAGGCUGUUUCAGCAAGAAGAGAAACCGACUCGGUCCAAAACCAGAGGAAAAAAUUAUGUUUGUCAAAAACAACUUUUGGAUCCUCUAAAAUGUAUAUUAUCACAGCCUGCCCUGGUUACAAUAGCACAGCCAAUUGUGGAAAUGAGAGGAGGGAGCUGGACAUAUUUGUAUACCAACACUGAAGGGAACGGAAACACUCCCCACAGACACCAGCAGAAGUCAUGGCGCGGAAGCGGGAAACAAGCACACGAAGAGAGCACACGCUGAGGAUUAUUUGCAGCAUCAGCCACAUGGAGCUGAUAAAGUGUAACAUGAGUUUGUCAUGAAGAGGGUUCUUGCUCUGUAGCAAACUGUUCACUUGGAUUUAGGACACAGCUCAGCUAAAAUAGCUUCCACUAACACACUGAGUGUUUCUGUGAUCUGCAGUAGGACCAGUUUAAAGUGUCACUACAAUAGAAACUACAAUAGAAACAUCAUUUUAAUGCUGCACUCAGUAACUGGACGGAAAGAAACAAACAAACAUUUUCAAAUGUUUCUAAAGUCCAGACUCCAUUUCUGCUUUUGUUUCAUCCAAAAUUCCUCACAAAGUUUCACUUCUCUGUCCUGACCUCAGCAUCACAUGAUCACAUUAUCACUUGAUCGUCUACAGUAGAAACAGCAGAAAUCUGUCGCUCCAUAGUUCCCAGUAACGGACUCACAGCUGGACCAACAAAGAAAGGUAAAAUUUAAAGAUGCACUCUGUGAACUUUUCUCUUGGACUUGGGUAAUGAUGGUCUUCCUCCUGGAGAGUCUUUCUCACAUGGCUGAUGUUGUGAUAAUGGCUUUUUCUUUACCAUAAAAAGAUCCUGGAUCAUCCACAUGCAUCUUCUGUGGACAUCCAGGCAUUUCUCUGUGCUUUUCUCCUGUGAAUGGACCAAACUGUUGAUGUGUCCUCUCCUGAUGUUCCUGCUCUUUCUGGAUCUGGAGGUAGAAAGUGUGUGUGAGCUGAUGUGAAUUGAGCAGCAUGGAUCAGUGUGAGGACAGAGAG